UGGUAACAUUAUAUCGUGAUAAUAUCGUAUUGCGGGUUCUCUGAGGAUCCCCUCAGUUACUAAAAAAUGACUUUUUAUUAUUGAUGCAUCUCUGUGCUGCCUCAGUUCUUGAAAUCUCCUAAUUUCAGAAACAAACUCUCUUUAGUUGAUGUUAAGGAAAGCUUUAAAAGUUUGACAUGCUUCUGCUACAAAUUAUGUUGACAUGAGGCGGAAACUUUUAGUCUACAGCCAUUUUGACUCGUUAUAUUUCCUAUUUUUGGUAUUUACAAAAUGAGAAGGCCCUGAACUAAAUGCAUUGCAGCUGAGAAAAUGUCAUUCUAAUCUUUCAGUUCACAACAGUUUGAACUUGAGUUUCUUCACUGCCACACUGCUGCUUUGCCUGAAAAGAAACACGACGCUGCUCCGUGGUCCCACAGUGGAGGCGCAUUUUCACACUUAAAAUAUGUGAGACGCGGCGCUGAAGGACUGUCUUUGGAGCCGCUCACCUUCACGGGACAACGAACGGUAAAUCCAGCAUCCGCCUGCAGCUGCUACACGAAACCAA